CACCGGGCUGGCGGAGUAGGCACUUCGGCCCUUGUGCCCGCUCUGCCAGCCUGGUGAG
rnacentral:pre_miRNA from 1 species